rnacentral:rRNA from 1 species
CGGACGGGUGAGUAAUGUCUGGGAAACUGCCUGAUGGAGGGGGAUAACUACUGGAAACGGUAGCUAAUACCGCAUAACGUCGCAAGACCAAAGAGGGGACCUUCGGGCCUCUUGCCAUCGGAUGUGCCCAGAUGGGAUUAGCUAGUAGGUGGGGUAAUGGCUCACCUAGGCGACGAUCCCUAGCUGGUCUGAGAGGAUGACCAGCCACACUGGAACUGAGACACGGUCCAG